UACAGAGGUCGCGAGCGUUGUUCGGAUUUACUGGGCGUAAAGGGCGCGUAGGCGGCGGAUCGUGUCGGAUGUGAAAUCUCCGGGCCCAACCCGGAAAGUGCGUCCGAAACUGGCCCGCUGGAGUGCGGGAGAGGGAAGGGGUAUAUAGGGUGUAGCGGUGAAAUGCGUUGAUAUCCUAUAGAACACCGGAGGCGAAGGCGCCUUCCUGGAACGCAACUGACGCUGAGGCGCGAAAGCCGGGGGAGCAAAC
rnacentral:rRNA from 1 species